rnacentral:rRNA from 1 species
UACGAAGGGGGCUAGCGUUGUUCGGAAUCACUGGGCGUAAAGCGCACGUAGGCGGAUUGUUAAGUCAGGGGUGAAAUCCUGGAGCUCAACUCCAGAACUGCCUUUGAUACUGGCGAUCUCGAGUCCGGGAGAGGUGAGUGGAACUGCGAGUGUAGAGGUGAAAUUCGUAGAUAUUCGCAAGAACACCAGUGGCGAAGGCGGCUCACUGGCCCGGUACUGACGCUGAGGUGCGAA